rnacentral:sRNA from 1 species
CGUCCUCGACCUGCUGGGGGCAGAUGAAGUGGAUGUGGGCGUCCAUCGCGCCGGCGGUCAGGAUCUUUCCUUCGCCGGCGAUCGCCUCGGUCGAAGGGCCGAUCACGAUGUCGACGCCCGGCUGGAUGUCCGGGUUGCCGGCCUUGCCGAUGCCGACGAUCACUUCGUCUCUCAGGCCGACAUCGGCCUUCACGAUGCCCCAGUGGUCGACGAUCAGCGCGUUGGUGAUCACCGUGUCGACCGCGCCCUCGGCCCGGGACGCCUGGCUCUGGCCCAUGCCGUCGCGGAUG